rnacentral:lncRNA from 1 species
GCCGCUGUCGACGCUCGCCGCGAACGCGUCGGCGGCGGAGCGCUGCGCCGUGAGGAGAUCGGAGAAGGAUUUGCAGCCCUGCCUCGCGAGGAGAGAGAUUAGGUUAAAAUCGGAGGGCGCGGCGGCGGGGGCCUCGGCCUCCGGCGAGGUGAGGAUGCUGCUGAUUUGGAUGACGGAGAUGUUGUAGGGCAAUUCGUAGAUUGAUUUGACGAAGGUGGCCAUGGGUUGAUCGGCGGCGUCGGCGUCGACUGGUGUGAAGCCGACCUUGCCGCCUUUGAGGUCGGUGAUGUUGACAUAGCCGGAGGUGCCGGCGGCCUCGCCGGUGGCCUGGAAGAGGGAGGAGGUGGUGGUGGAGCCCUUGGUGAUCUGGUGGAGCUUGUUGGAGCCGAAGUAGUCGGCGAAGAUGUGGAGGGAGAGGAUGUUGGUGAGGGUGGGGAGGGGGAAGUGGUGGGAGAGGAGGGCGGCCAUGGCGGCGUUGUCCACGGCGCAGACGGUGAUGGUGUCGCGGCGGUUGAUCUCGUCGGCGAGGUGUGUGGUGGUGAGGUAUUGGUUGAAUGUGGAGAGGGAGGGGUGCGAGGCGAGG